rnacentral:rRNA from 2 species
UGGGGAAUAUUGCGCAAUGGGGGAAACCCUGACGCAGCGACGCCGCGUGCGGGAUGAAGGCCUUCGGGUUGUAAACCGCUUUUGAUUGGGAGCAAGCCUUUUGGGUGAGUGUACCUUUCGAAUAAGCGCCGGCUAACUACGUGCCAGCAGCCGCGGUAAUACGUAGGGCGCAAGCGUUAUCCGGAAUUAUUGGGCGUAAAGAGCUUGUAGGCGGUUCGUCGCGUCUGGUGUGAAAGCCCAUCGCUUAACGGUGGGUCUGCGCCGGGUACGGGCGGGCUAGAGUGCAGUAGGGGAGACUGGAAUUCCCGGUGUAACGGUGGAAUGUGUAGAUAUCGGGAAGAACACCAAUGGCGAAGGCAGGUCUCUGGGCUGUUACUGACGCUGAGAAGCGAAAGCGUGGGGAGCGAACAGGAUUAGAUACCCUGGUAGUCCACGCCGUAAACGGUGGACGCUGGAUGUGGGGCCCAUUCCACGGGUUCCGUGUCGGAGCUAACGCGUUAAGCGUCCCGCCUGGGGAGUACGGCCGCAAGGCUAAAACUCAAAGAAAUUGACGGGGGCCCGCACAAGCGGCGGAGCAUGCGGAUUAAUUCGAUGCAACGCGAAGAACCUUACCUGGGCUUGACAUGUGCCUGACAGCUGCAGAGAUGUGGUUUCCCUUCGGGGCAGGUUCACAGGUGGUGCAUGGUCGUCGUCAGCUCGUGUCGUGAGAUGUUGGGUUAAGUCCCGCAACGAGCGCAACCCUCGCCCUGUGUUGCCAGCGGGUUAUGCCGGGAACUCAUGGGGGACCGCCGGGGUUAACUCGGAGGAAGGUGGGGAUGACGUCAGAUCAUCAUGCCCCUUACGUCCAGGGCUUCACGCAUGCUACAAUGGCCGGUACAACGGGAUGCGACAUGGUGACAUGGAGCGGAUCCCUUAAAACCGGUCUCAGUUCGGAUCGUAGUCUGCAACUCGACUACGUGAAGGCGGAGUCGCUAGUAAUCGCGAAUCAGCAACGUCGCGGUGAAUGCGUUCCCGGGCCU